rnacentral:rRNA from 1 species
AAACCCAUGUGUCAAAACCUGAUCUCGGUAGAUUUCAGAAGCUAAGCAGGGGCAGGUCUGGUUAGUACUUGGAUGGGAGACCGCAGGGAAUGUCAGGU